GACAAUAAUAACCAACUUCUAUUUGGUCACGCAGAAUGUUCAUGUUGUAUUGAAAGAAUAUGCCCUGGUUUAUGUCACUAAUACAGGGAGUUCUUUUGAAGAAUCCUUCAUUUCUGUAUGAACUACCUGGCACUUGCAUUCACAGCUCCUGGUUGUUCAGACUCCUCCUGUAACAACCAUCUCAGAAACAUUCAGGAAGUGUGGAUAUUCCCUUGAUUACCAAUUAACUUUCAGAGUUGCAUUCACUUGACCAGAUAUCUGCUUUAGGGGGAAAUUAAUUAUUCGGUAAAAGAUCCUUGUUUUCAGAUCUUAUAUUUACCAACCAGAGGCCUUGAGUAAUUGCUAAAGAUGUUGUGAUUACCAGUAGGCUAAAGCUGGCAGCAAGAAGGAAACUUGGAAGGGCUUGUGUCUGGAACACUGAGGAAUAAGUACUGUGUGUGUUGUUGAAGGGGCUUUAUGUACCUUGCCUUACUCGAGGCAGGUCCCAUACUUAGUGUAUGCCUUUGAUCUUACUAUUUACUGUAGGUGAUGAGCAGAGAUUGUUGUGCAGUUUUUAGAACAAAGCUGUUUCUUUGGAAUAAUGAAUAAUUGGAUUUUGUUUGUUUAUCUGUUUAGCAGGAAAGUGCUAGCUUUGUAGUGUUUUGCUUGCUUGUUUGUUUUUGUCAAAAAUAUUUUGUCAGAUCUGGAGUCUCAGCCUAGAACACUGGAACCAUCCCCUUGUUAGGAAACCUAGAUUCAAGGGUUCUGAUUAAAAUGCUGCCCUCAACUUCUCUCAAACUUUCAGUCAAAAGUACUCUCUUCUACCUAAAUAUUAAUAAUAUGCUAACCUCAGGCAGUUGAUGCAGGAGAACUGUCAGGGAAUUAACCCAAACUGGGAGAAUGUUUGGCCUGAGGCUGCUGUCGGAGCUGUUGGGUCACUGUACGCUAUUGGCAAACAAAUUGACCUCUGUUUCUCUAGUAGACAGUCCCAUCAUAUAAAUUUAAAUAACUGUUUAAGAACUAGUUCUUGUAUGUCUCUGUACAUCAGAAGAGAGAGGCUUAUUUGGAGAAUGGUUCCUAUUUUUCAUUAUCCUCUGGACAAAUCUCUAUUAUAAGAUAAAUAGAAAGACUAACUCACAAUUCCUAUUUUUCAUUUCAUUUUCUGCAGAAAAAUCUUCGUUGUUGAUUAGGAAUCUUUAUUUUCUUACCAAAUAUUUUCCUCAGGUGCAAACUCUAUUUUCUGUCUACUUCAAUUGAUUAAUCUUCUUUGAUUACAGACUUUUUUUUUAAUAAAAUGACAGCAUAAUUAUUGUCCUAGCAGGUGACCUAUUAAGUACUCCAUCAUGAAUUGGCUUUAGCUUUCUGCCAUGCUGCAGGUCAUCUGAACAUCAAACUGAUCAAUUAGAAAUACAGUGUUGCACAUUCCACCUCAGCAUGGUCAGGUGUGCAUUUGCUUAGCUUGAAAAACCUAUAUAAGUCAUGACAUCUGGUCUUGAUCUGAACAUUUUAACUUAAUAUGACUGUGACGGCCAUUUUGCAUAUGCUAUGCACAUGAUUUAUGGUAAUAAGAGAAGACAACUUCUCUUAGUGGAAAGGAACUACUCUGAGGAGGUAAGUCUGACACCAAGUCAGGGCCUUAUGACUAGCUGCUGUUUUAUGCUGACGCUUAUAUCAAGCCAAAACUAGUUAAAGAUAGAGAAGUAAUAUUAUUUCUUGCAGUGCUGGAACACUUUAUACUGAGUAGAAUUUAUAUCCCUUUAAAAGUGUGUAGAUUCCCUUCAAGGCUGUUUGAAUGCAUUCAUUAAAGAUAACUUCAUCUGGACUAUAGAUGUGUGAAGCAUUCAGGAAUUAUGCAAUCACCUUCAGUGGUCAUGAGAAUAGAUCCUUAUUAGACAAAAACCACCGACUUUUCUAUUUGUUUUUAUGUAUUCUUGGCUGGACACUGUCUGUUUCACGUCCAAGUCAGUAAUUCUUAGAUACCUUAGCUCAAGAAAUACCACUACAUUUUUAUUUUAGUUGUACGGUACUAUGGUUUGAUAUAACCAGUUACAGUCUAGGCUAUAACAAUUAGCAUAUCUUCUCUUCUAGGACAAACAAGCACUUCACUGAGCAGCAGGGCAUGGAAAAAUCUCUGCUGUUAUGAACAGGCAUCAUAAAACAAUAUGGUAUGAGAAAGGCAGAGAAAGGAAAAAGGAGAAGGAAGAAAAUGGAAGGGAAGGGAUGUGUCUCAUGCUUUAGCAUGCAUUUGUAACGGGUAGUUUUAACUGACUCUUUCAGUGUCUUGCUUAUGCAAAUGGAGAUUAGUUGUGAUUGGGACUCCAGCAGAUGUCCAGUACAUAAUUUUUCUAAAAUAGCAAGAAAAUCGGUAUACUGCUCCUUGUAAGGUAUAAUGACAAGUAUCUUUAAUCAGUGUGCUCAGGGCACCAUUUGUGAUAAUCACUGAUGAAGUCUUUAAUCUUUAGUUGCCUGAAGAUAAAUGGCUGAUCUUUAGAAAGAACUGUAAAUGAUUUCAUAGCCCUAGCAGAAAACAUGCUAACUAAUAAUGUGAUGCAAACUCGUUUCUUUAAUCACUGACGUAUUUCUUUAUUAUGGCUCUUAGUUUUUGACCUGACAUAUGCAGAGUACAGCAAAGCAACAAUCUGCAUUUUGAGUUCAAAACUGGGAAUAAAUUGGCAUUAGACAUAAAAUGUGAUGUUGAAAAAUAUAGCACUAUUUUCACUUUGGUUUCACUGAAGAUUCCUGGAAAACUUUAGGCAGAAUGGUGAUGGAGUCUUCUGGAGAAAAUCCUUAGGAACUGCUCAGAUUUGGUUCCUUUCUGAAAAUAGAUGGAGUUUCCAUAGAAGUUCCAGUUUUCAUACCGUUUUUUUUACUGUUUUUCUACAAUAUGUAUGUAUUGGGAAAAAAAAAUCAAAAUGCUACAUUCUGUUUAUAAAUAUCCCUCUUUCUGUACAUAUGACUGUGAAAGUCAAUCAUACCUGGAUUGUGCAACUGAAAUAAUUGUUUAUAUGACUAAUUUAGGGUGAUUGUGAGAAAAGAGAUAAAAGUCAUACUCAUCACGGAGAAUACGCUUAUCUUUUGUAGCUAUCAUUAAAGUUAUAUCCUGAAGAAGUUAACUGUCUACCAUCACCAUAAUUUCUGACUUUGGGGAUGAAAUGCACUGACAUGGCUUGCACUGUCAUUUAUUCGACUGAUAUUUUUUCAGUUAGAACCUUCCCUUUCUAGAGAUUGCAGCACUGAUUUUUGAGGAAGCUUAUAGAAGAGGGAUUGGUACAGAUAUUUCUUUCUUUCUGCCUUUAAAUGGAGUGCAGAAGCAGCAGAAAAAGCCUUUCUACUCUUUGUUUUGGGAAUGUGGACUUAGUUGCUCCCUUCCUUUGGUUGAGCACUCUAUGAUUCAAUUUUUCUUUCUUCUCAGUAUUUUUCCCAGUGGUACUUUCUUGAAAAAUUAUCUUCAUAUGCUCUAAAGAACACUGCAAUAAUUCCCACUGACUGAUGGUGAGAGAGUUCUUGAAAGGAGACCGAAUCAAGUCUCAUAGCUUCUGAGCUGAUGGCCUUUCCAACAGGAGCACAUAUGCCAACAACAGCACAGCCGAGAUCCAUCAUCUGGAGGCAAACUCUUUGCUGUUGGCAAGUGUUCCAAACAGCAGUUCAGGGACUGGGGAAUGAGAAGAGAUAUUCUCUCUUUUUCCAACCACUUUGUUGUAUUUUGUGGAAACAAAUCUUCAAGCGACAGCAAAAGCUUGUACCUCUGCUCAAAGCCAGCAUGCCAGUCAUAAUGACCCACAAAUAGUUUCACAGCUAAUACGAAUUAUAAGUUCUGGUGCAGUGCUUGAGAUGACUUAGAAAUGCAUUCCCCACGGCAUCAGCUGAUGUACAGGAACUGUUUCUGCUCCAGUAUCUCACGAGUUAUCUGAGUAUCUGACAAGUUUCAACAGUGUGACAGACAGAAAAAAAAUGGAGUGAGUGAAAAGAGAUGGGUCAGUGUAUCAUUCUCAAAAGUCUUUCCAGUGAUAGCAGUUGUCAAAUUUCUAGUCGAUAUACAAAUAGCAUUUUUAGAGCUUCAUGGACAAAAUAAGAAAAAUUGUAGAAGUGCUUUAAUACAAGAAUCCCCUGAAGUUGGCUAUACUUAACCCUAUGUUUACUGUACGUACUGGAGAGUUUUUAUAGAUGGCAAAAAAAAUAAACAAUUGCUGGGUAGAAUUGGGUAAUGCUUGAAGGAAGGAAGGGCAAAAAGUUGGAGAAAAAAGACCUGAAAUCAGAACUAUUCUAUUACCAACUCAUCCCACUUAGCUUAGUGUUCAGUUCAGUUUCUUUUUCCAAGCCUAUCUGAAUCAAACUGGCUUUAGUGAGAGCCUUUAUCACUUAUUUACACUAAAUGACCUGAUGACAAAAUCUAGGAGAGUUGAAUACAGCUGAUAAGUACAUUUGGAAAUGUGACUCGGACAUUUAUGUUCUUUCUACUUAAUGUUCCUGAUAACUUGAAAGAAAUUCUUCAGCCAGUAAAUCUGUUAAUUAGCUUAGUUGUAAUUACCACUGUGACUGCAGUGAUUGCAUUUCAGGUGUCUACUAUCCACCAUGACACCUGGGUAUGCCAGGCGUAAUACCACGUAACUAUUUUGUAAAUGCUAAUUCCCUAAUUCAGCAGGAGGGUUUUCAAGAGGCAGCAGAACUAGCGUCAAGCAAAGAAUUACUACUGUGGUAGACUUGCAACAAAAAAACUUUUCAACUUCUGACUAAGAAUUGGCCUGAAAUGAGGUGAAAAUAAAAGCUGCUUUGUCACAGUGGACUCUGUAGAUCUGGGACACUGGGUUGAAGUGGGAUAAGCAAAAUGCAGACAACAGAGGAAAAUGAAAGAUAUCAUGCA